rnacentral:rRNA from 1 species
CACGUAGGGUGCGAGCGUUGUCCGGAAUUAUUGGGCGUAAAGAGCUCGUAGGCGGUGUGUCGCGUCGGCCGUGAAAACCUGCAGCUUAACUGUGGGCUUGCGGUCGAUACGGGCAUCACUGGAGUUCGGCAGGGGAGACUGGAAUUCCUGGUGUAGCGGUGAAAUGCGCAGAUAUCAGGAGGAACACCGGUGGCGAAGGCAGCACUCUGGGACGUGACUGACGCUGAGACGCGAAAGCGUGGGGAGCAAACAGG